rnacentral:rRNA from 1 species
GUGGGGAAUUUUGGACAAUGGGCGCAAGCCUGAUCCAGCCAUGCCGCGUGCAGGAUGAAGGCCUUCGGGUUGUAAACUGCUUUUGUACGGAACGAAAAGACUCUGGUUAAUACCUGGGGUCCAUGACGGUACCGUAAGAAUAAGCACCGGCUAACUACGUGCCAGCAGCCGCGGUAAUACGUAGGGUGCGAGCGUUAAUCGGAAUUACUGGGCGUAAAGCGUGCGCAGGCGGUUAUAUAAGACAGAUGUGAAAUCCCCGGGCUCAACCUGGGAACUGCAUUUGUGACUGUAUAGCUAGAGUACGGCAGAGGGGGAUGGAAUUCCGCGUGUAGCAGUGAAAUGCGUAGAUAUGCGGAGGAACACCGAUGGCGAAGGCAAUCCCCUGGGCCUGUACUGACGCUCAUGCACGAAAGCGUGGGGAGCAAACAGGAUUAGAAACCCCGGUAGUCC